rnacentral:rRNA from 1 species
UACGUAGGUGGCAAGCGUUGUCCGGAAUUACUGGGCGUAAAGCGUGCGCAGGCGGUUGUGCAAGACCGAUGUGAAAUCCCCGGGCUUAACCUGGGAAUGGCAUUGGUGACUGUACGGCUAGAGUGUGUCAGAGGGGGGUAGAAUUCCACGUGUAGCAGUGAAAUGCGUAGAGAUGUGGAGGAAUACCGAUGGCGAAGGCAGCCCCCUGGGAUAACACUGACGCUCAUGCACGAAAGCGUGGGGAGCAAACAGG